rnacentral:rRNA from 1 species
GAUGAACGCUAGCUACAGGCUUAACACAUGCAAGUCGCGGGGGCAGCAAUGAACUUGGCUUGCCAGGUUUUGAUGGCGACCGGCGCACGGGUGAGUAACGCGUAUCCAACCUGCCCAUGUCCACGGGGAUAGCCCGUCGAAAGGCGGAUUAAUACCGUAUGAGGUCACACGAUGGCGAUCAGAAUGUGACGAAAGGUUUGGCGGACAUGGAUGGGGAUGCGUCCGAUUAGCUAGUUGGCGGGGUAAC